GGCGUGUCCAUCGCCCCAACCACCACACUGUAGAGUCUGGGGGAAAGGAAAAGAAACAUGGCGGUUCCCACUAGUGGGAACCUUUAGGCCUUCAGCACACCCACCACCAGUUGAACAGAAACAUUGUCUCCCAUUGGCCGGGACUGGAUGCUAUAAGAGGAUGAGCAGCAAUCCUUUGGGCCUGACUCUGGUAUUUUCAUCUUUGCUGUCUCUUACUCCGUUGCCACCACUCCUAAAUCAAACAUCCGGUGCCAAAAACCAGGAGGGGCUGGAUGCCUCUUGGAGUCAUCUGGCUGGGUUUUCAUGACAGUCCUCACACCCUUGGUUGGUCAAGCCCUGGCAAAGGACCUCAUGAACUGUCCCCUUCAUCCUUCUAAGGUUCUCCAGUACGUGGAUGACCUGCUUACCUGAAGCCCCUCACUGCAGGAUUCACAAGAACAGAUGGGCACCCUCCUUAAUUUUCUGGCUGCCAAAAGAUAUCGAGUGCCGGAACCACCAUCUUCCAGUAAUUAACCAAAAUGACGA